rnacentral:rRNA from 1 species
AUACGGAGGAUCCGAGCGUUAUCCGGAUUUAUUGGGUUUAAAGGGUGCGCAGGCGGGAGAUUAAGUCGGCGGUGAAAUUUUGCAGCUCAACUGUAAAAGGGCCUUUGAAACUGGUUUUCUUUAGUGUAGGUUGAGUAGGCGGAAUUUGUGGUGUAGCGGUGAAAUGCAAAGAUAUCACGAGGAACUCCGAUUGCGCAGGCAGCUUACUAAACUACUACUGACGCUCAGGCACGAAGACGUGGGGAUCAAACAGGAUUAGAUACCCUGGUAGUCCACGCAGUAAACGAUGAUUACUAGCUGUUUGCGAUACAAUGUAAGCGGCUGAGCGAAAGCGUUAAGUAAUCCACCUGGGGAGUACGUUCGCAAGAAUGAAACUCAAAGGAAUUGACGGGG